GCCACCUUAGCUCAGUUGGUAGAGCAGCGCUUUUGUAAAGCGAAGGUCCCCAGUUCAAGCCUGGGAGGUGGCUCAA
rnacentral:tRNA from 1 species